ACCAUCUACAACAACAACCAGCCAGAGGUGAACCUGCCAGUACUACCGCUGACUCACUGUGUCAUGCAAGCGAGAGGAAAGUUUGCUUGUUUUUAUAUACGUUUCAGGUGAAGAAAUGCUUCCAAAAACACGAGACCCAGUGACCCCCGAACUUCCUCACUGUGCAACUGCAGCACAAAGCUCAUCCGGUGUAGACGCGACAGACACCAGACAGCAAUCGACACUCUGGAGGAACUCUCAGAGCUUUGAAGGUCUGAUUGACUUGGCUACGGAAACCAUGUCACAUACUUGAGAGGGAAACCACUGGCAGAUGGAGAGGGACAAAAUCAUCCGUGCCAAAUCAGACCAACAGAUGCAACAGCUCUAGUUCUUUACUCGUCUACAACAAAGCUCUUCUGUGAAGUUCUUAUGUUUACACCAUAUACUGUAUUGUUCAAGUAACGUUGUAUCAAAGAAAUUAGGCAGUAUUUGAAGCAGUAUGAAACAGACAGACAGAGAGAGAGAGUGAUUGAAAGAAAAAGGAAGUGAAUGCAAUAAUGGAGUCUUUCAAAAGUACCCACAAGAAAAACAAACCAAACAUAUAUCAUUAUAACAUUAAUAAAUGUGCAGAUAGCUAUUUAUAUAGCUGAGCAGCCCUUGAAACAAAUAGGAAGAGAGAACAUGCAGUAAAAACCAAACUCGAGACAGCAAAACUGUAAACACAUUCUAUAGAAUUGUCAAUAAUAGGCCUGCACUAAAAUAAUAUGAAGAAUUUUAGAUUUAAUAAGAAGGCUAUUCAGGUCAUAAUGUCAGAUAUUGAACAAUUAAACAACAAUAAAAGUUAAAAAGAAAACUUCUGGCACACUAAUAAUAGCACGUAUGGUACUAUUCAAAUUAAGAUGUAUUACUGGCCAAUGAACAGUUAAGUUAACAUUAAAAGACUAAAUAUUCAUUAUAUUUUUAAAAGUUGAUUAAAAAAUAAAGGCAUUAAGGAGUUCUUAUUUACAGUGACAGUUGUAACUGUCAAUUAAAUGUCAGCUGACAGGUCCACAGUCUAACAAACUAACAGACUAAGAAACUGAAAGAAAAAAACAUCGGACGGUAACUGACCUUGUUUAUUAACCUCAGUAAUUGAGAGCGAGAACCACUAUCCUUAGAGCGUCCUUCUGUCUCCCUCUUUUCUGUCUUGUUUUCCUCUGUCGCACUUUCUGAUGUGACCCCCUUCUCUCUCUCUUUCUCUCUCUUCCCUCCUCCGCCGUGUGUUUCUCAGGAGGAAA